CUCGCCUCUGUUUUCCCCCUCAGCCCCGCAUGCAGCAGCAACAGCCACCGGCCACGGCCCUUGCUCGACCGCGCGCCCCCAGUGCUGGCCAGGACUCGCCGAAGACCAGCCACCACCUGCGCAGCAAGCGCCAACUUCCUUGUCGCUGGCAGCACUGUACGACCCUCCUCGCCUCAAAGAGGUGAGCAAAUCAAUUUCCUCGCAAUCCCCUAAUGCUAAUCCCCUAUUUAAGUGUGUCAAACCACCUCCGGUUAGCCCCCAUUUAGAGCUCCCAUUAUCUAUGGCCACGAGGACUUGUUUGCAGCAAUUUGAACAAAGUCAGAAACCUUUGUGUAAAUUUUAGGACCAUAUCCGCGAGAACAAAUUUGACACGCAUUUGAACCUUUGUAAAUUGCCAGGAAAUCAUAGAAAAAUCGGAAAAUGUCAAACAAGUUUUUUUGUGCUCCUCGUGUUAAGUUUUAUCUGCACAGAGAAAACCAAAUGUUG
rnacentral:misc_RNA from 1 species